UCUCCUGGAAACGGGUGGUAAUGCCGGAUGUUCCACAUGAUCGCAUGUGAUUGUGGGAAAGAUUCUAUCGGCGUGGGAUGGGGUCGCGUCCUAUCAGCUUGUUGGUGAGGUAACGGCUCACCAAGGCUUCGACGGGUAGCCGGCCUGAGAGGGCGACCGGCCACAUUGGGACUGAGAUACGGCCCAGACUCCUACGGGAGGCAGCAGUGGGGAAUAUUGCACAAUGGGCGCAAGCCUGAUGCAGCGACGCCGCGUGAGGGAUGGAGGCCUUCGGGUUGUAAACCUCUUUUGUUUGGGAGCAAGCCUUCGGGUGAGUGUACCUUUCGAAUAAGCGCCGGCUAACUACGUGCCAGCAGCCGCGGUAAUACGUAGGGCGCAAGCGUUAUCCGGAUUUAUUGGGCGUAAAGGGCUCGUAGGCGGCUCGUCGCGUCCGGUGUGAAAGUCCAUCGCUUAACGGUGGAUCUGCGCCGGGUACGGGCGGGCUGGAGUGCGGUAGGGGAGACUGGAAUUCCCGGUGUAACGGUGGAAUGUGUACAUAUCGGGA
rnacentral:rRNA from 1 species